ensembl:piRNA 21ur-726 ncRNA
UAGUUAGAAAAUUUGUGACGU